AUAGUUACUGACGUGGCAAAUUCUAAUUUUGCCUUUUGGAACUGGAAUUUAUUUCCUUAUUUAUUUAAAUUUGGGGGGAUAUUUUCGAUCAAAGUUUGGUUGAAUUCAUGGAUGCGGAAUCCACUGAUACAGAGGGCCAACUCUACUUGGAGUAGUACCCUGGCAAACGUAAGCAAAGCUUUGGACCUUUUUGAAAAGCUGCAGGACUCCACGCCUCCCCUUUGAGCUUGACCAAUGGCCUUCUUAGCCCAAUCCUGCCUUUUCCUCUCUGCCCUGCCUCUCUAGCCAAUGAGGUAGAGCUUAAGAUUCCAGCUCUGUUUCCAACCUUGAGCCACAGCAAUGCGAGAGGCAGCAUGAAAUGGUGACCCGAGAAUCCAGUGGAGGGAACUGAGUGAAGACAACAUCUCCUGGGACCCUGAGAAACGUAUCCAACGUCUCUCAAGAUGGGUUUACACGGCUGCAUGAUGGGGAUAAAAUGUCCUGGACAGAACAGAUGUAGUGAGCAUUAAAUGAAGCUGUAUGAGGCUUCAAGCCAAGUUUUCUAUAAAGCUUUGUUUUCCAUUUCCAGAUACUCUAACACUUAAGCCAGGGUGAUUGGCUGAUCUGAUGAACCCAUGUCUGUAAUCUCGGCUGGUCUUCAGAUGUCCCGGGGAACAGAAACUCGAUGGUUGAACCUCCCCACAUUGUGUUGAAUAACAGGCCAUUUGCUCAAGGAAGAUUAUUCUGGAAGCCAAAAUAUGACAGAUCGGGGAGGGGGUGAAGACAAAGACACCAGUUCUUCAGUGAAAUAUCAUUGUUUCUUACCCUCGAGAGGAAAUAGACGGUGCCCACGGUGAGGAACAAGAAAGUCCAGCUGUGCCUUUGCUCAACCAGCCCCUUGGCUGGGGACUUCCUGAUUGCCAAUCCCAUGGGACCAUCUGCUUUCCCAGAAAUCACCCUACAGCCCGUUCCUUCCUCUCCUACUUAGAACUGUGGGGCUAACUUCUUGAGCUUCCUUCACAUCAUAACCCAUCGCCCUUCCCUCUCCCCAACCCCAAAGACUUACCUAUUUU